UUCCAAGCGCUUUACCUGCACGGUGCCAGCCAUAGCUGAGUUUGUGCGUCGCCGGUCUGGAGGAGAGCCACAGGGACAAGAGGCUGAUGAUGAAGCUGCACAAGUCCACCAACAGCAGGAUGCGCCCCCACCCGCUGACGCCGACUCUGGCAGGUGAGCAACAAAAAUGCACCGAAAGCUGCCCAGCGUCCACGUUUCAUCCUUUUGAAAGCUUUGACAGAACACGAGAAACGUGAGGCACCCCAUCAGAACGUGACAGGGCCGGGAGAGAACGUACUGGUCGAAGUAAACCGCAGGGCGUAACGAUGUGCCUUUGAGCCUGCGGGACUUGAAAAAAAAAUGGCCAAACUCCCAUGGCACGUUACAUUUUGGCCCAGCAACAUUUUGUUAACAGAGCCUAAAGAGUUCAACAUGGGUUUAGGAACUGGAGUGUGGAUUAACAAUUUAAAUUGCCCAACUCGCUGUUGGAGUCUGCUUCCAACUACUGUUGAGAAGCCCUUGGGCAAGGCACCAACCCCACCCUGUCGAGGUCAAAAGGUGAAGCUCUGUUUGCACAACUUGGUUCACUGUGUAUACAGCAGCAAUUUCCCUUCGAGCGAGGAGUACAGUACAUUCAAAUAAAUUCAACGCACUCUGCCCGCUGUCAGUACAGCACUUUACCUGUAUGCAACUUAAUAUAAAACUAAUUUUGUGUGCAUGAAGUUUUCUUUUCAUCGUGCCAAGUUACAUCAAAAAUUGUUAUUGUACAUAAAUGACGUUUGACUUUUCACAGUUUCAUUUAGGCAAAGGAGUUGAAUCAGUACUUCGAUUAGCAUUCUUUUUUUUUUUUUUUUUUUUUAAUAACGUGUACUUCUGCUUAAGUUCAGAGUGAGAGUACUUUCGUCAUCUCUGGACAGUAGGAGAAUGAAACAAAUGCGCAGAUCUGAAGAGGGAAGAUAUUCGAAUCUCAUGACCAGUGCGGUGCGCACAGCUCGUUUGCGAGGAAGCGGAGCGCUCCACACGUUGACACAGCUGACUGAAUGAAAGAAUCCCGUUUGCACACUGCUAAUCCCUUCAGGGUCUAGUCCCGUGUGGAAAACACCAUGAACUAAUCAAAAGUGCAGGAGAAAAUAAAUAAAAUAAAACCUCAACUGACUCACACAAUAACGCAUACCAAAAAAAUAAAAAUAAAUAAAUAAACGUAUUUCUUCUAAUUUCAUGGUAAGGUUGUAUUGAAUGUGAUUUAACGGGUUAAUUAAAUGAAUACUGCCUUCAUUAAGUUUUAGUUUCUCGUCAGAAUUUUUCGACAUAACGUCUUACCUUCCAUGGUUACUGUAGGUACGUUUGACAUCAGAGACCAGGCCAAAUCUCUCGGGAUCCUUGGAAUUAAACAUGACUGGCAAGGUGAAGGUCACAGCUGAAGAGAAUCCCUCACAAUUGCAGGGGAAACAUACAAAAACU